UACGUAGGUGGCGAGCGUUGUCCGGAUUUACUGGGCGUAAAGGGCGUGCAGGCGGUUUGUUAAGUGCAGGGUGAAAGACCGUCCCGGCUCAACCUGGGAGAUGGUCCUUGGCAUACUGGCGAACUCGAGGGAGGCAGAGGAAAGUGGAAUUCCCGGUGUAGUGGUGAUAUGCGUAGAUAUCGGGAGGAACACUGUGGCGAAGGCGGCUUUCUGGGCCUUACCUGACGCUGAGACGCGAAAGCGUGGGGAGCGAACCGG
rnacentral:rRNA from 1 species